CGACGUAGGUAACCUGCCUUGUAGCGGGGGAUAACUAUUGGAAACGAUAGCUAAUACCGCAUAACAAUGGAUGACACAUGUCAUUUAUUUGAAAAGGGGCAAUUGCUCCACUACAAGAUGGACCUGCGUUGUAUUAGCUAGUAGGUGAGGUAACGGCUCACCUAGGCGACGAUAUAUAGCCGACCUGAGAGGGUGAUCGGCCACACUGGGACUGAGACACGGCCCAG
rnacentral:rRNA from 1 species